CUCUUAUAUUAUCUCUCCGCUCGCUUACCCACUCUCUUACUGAAGCCAUCUCACAAUGACUGGGAAUUUACCAUGCGUCCUCGUUAAUAUAUAAUGCACGAGGGAACCCAAGGCUCUCAUUUGGAAUCGCGACCGUAUCUAAUUCCAGCAAUAAUCGUAGCGAGGGAACCCAAGGCUCUCAUUUGGAAUCGCGACCGUAUCUACUUCCAGCAAUAAUCGGAGCGAUUAACACAUCCGCAUGCGCACCUCAAGUGCACCUUCCCUCGGUCUCUCUUUGUUUUGUUACACUGAAACAUGCUCAUUUUCACUUUUUGGAGAUUAACCCCACUUAAAAUAAUUUUAACAAGCGUGCUAAGAUAUAGAAAAUUGCUACUGUCACAACCUUAUAGAAUGUUCGCCAUUGCAACAUAAUGAUCAGAAGCUGCUACUAAACAUCCAUAAGAAGAGCACUCCAAGCUGUUCAGCUUGUUCUUGUCGAUGACGGAUCU
rnacentral:lncRNA from 1 species